GUAAGCAUUUUACCUCAGGUGAGGGAAAUGUAGGCUAUUCGUUGACUGCUUUGGAGAACUUCUGAUUUACACAGCAAAAUUUGACUUCUCAGAGUUUUGAUUCCCAUAGUCACUAAUUACAUUGCAUAUGUUUCUAAAAUGUGUGUGAACCAGUAUUUGUUAAACAAAUCAAAUCACUAUUUAGAGUAACUAUAUUGUUAGGUAUUUUGUAAACUUUGUGAACUCAUUCUACAGUUCAUCUAGCUUGUUAAUUUGAUUGUAAUGGUAGAUUUUUUCUUAGAGGGAGAUGCAUUUCUACUUGAGAAGCAUCAUUAAAGAUCCCUUUCUCACCACUGUACGUAUAAAUCCCUGGUACUUGUUCCCUUUUUAAAAAGCCCGUUUUCCCAACCUCCUCAUCACAUAUGUAACUCCUUUUAGGUUCUCCAGAUUUCUGUUCCUGCCCUCCAUUGUGUCAUUCUUAUACCUUUGCAUCCUCAUAGCUUAGCUCCCACUUAUGAGUGAGAACGUAUGAUGUUUGGUUUUCCAUUCCUGAGUCACUUCACUUAGAAUAAUAGCCUCCCAUCUCAUCCAGGUUGCCACAGAACAGUUUUGCAACUGAUUUUGGUCAUGUUUUACAUAGAAUCACAUCACCUUCACCUUAUUUGAUGGAUGCUCAGUUAUAAGGAUAGCUAUGGUAACAGUAACAACAGCUCUUAUGAAUUGCAUCAUGCACUUACAGACAUUGGGCACUCUCUUCAUUUAACCUUCACUAUCAUGAUCUCUGAGGUUUGCUGGCUACCACUGAGUGCCUUGCAUCUUAACAUGAUGAAGUCUUGGAAGCCCAUCAACUCUCCCACUGUAGAGAAUUGGAUGGCUGUGCUGUGUUCCUCUUAUUCCUCCUAUACCUCCAUUUAUAGUAGUGCCUGAGCUCUGUCAGUUUUAACACAUCUACUGUCCACCCCUACUGCCGCUGGCCUGUUUGAGGAUACCAUCUGGAUCACCAUUGCCACCCCUAUUACUCUCCUGCCUCCAAUGUUAUCCCCCUUCCCAGGGCUGCUUUGGGAUCCUGUGUUGUUUCUGCCCUUUUGUCCGUGUCAUUUCACCAGUCUUAAGUGCUGUAUACCCCACUGUUUACUAACCUGGCCAAACAUCAAUCCCCCACCAGGCCUUGAUUUUGACAAUAACUCCCCCAGGAGGUCAUGCCUCUCAUGUCCUUCUUUUUGGGGGCCCAUAGCAUCCUUUCUUUAUCUCUCUUAUUACAUGUGUCAAGCUGUAUAAAUGUGGCCUGUUUUUUAAAUCUCUUCCUACAACUUGGUCACCAGCUCCUUGACAUCAGAUGUGGC
rnacentral:lncRNA from 1 species